GACGAACGCUGGCGGCGUGCUUAACACAUGCAAGUCGAACGGAAAGGCCCUGCUUGCAGGGUACUCGAGUGGCGAACGGGUGAGUAACACGUGGGUGAUCUGCCCUGCACUUCGGGGUAAGCCUGGGAAACUGGGUCUAUUACCGGAUAGGAGCCCUUUUUAGUGUGAUGGUUGGAAAGUUUUUUCGGUGUAGGAUGAGCUCGCGGCCUAUCAGCUUGUUGGUGGGGUAAUGGCCUACCAAGGCGGCGACGGGUAGCCGGCCCGAGAGGGUGGACGGCCAAAAUUGGACUGGGGAUCCGGCCAGAAUCCUACGGGAGGGAGGAGUGGGGGAUAUUGCACAAUGGGGGCAAGCCUGAUGCAGCGACGCCGCGGGGGGGAUGACGGCCUUUGGGUUGUAAACUCCUUUCGCUAGGGACGAAGCUUUUUGUGACGGUACCUAGAUAAGAAGCACCGGCUAACUACGUG
rnacentral:rRNA from 1 species